UUUGGUGGCUUUGCAGCCAUUUUAUUAAUAAUCAAUAAAACAAAAAAAGUUUAUGGCCCAAUGCCAAAAAGAAAACAAAUCCUGAAAAUUAUUGCAGGUCAAGCCCAAUUUCCUAUUUGACCUAGCUAUAAAAAUGUAAGAAAUUCCUAUUAUUUCCAUUUCCAUCUUUGGUCGCCUCUCCACCUUCAACGUGCUUCUAAGAUGUUGCCGCCUUAAUUCCAAACUGAUUCUACUUCUUCUGUGGGUGAUAAAUAUUGUUCCAUCCUUGUGUUGUGUGUCUUUUUUACAAAAAAGGUUGUCAAAAAACAAAGGUAACAUUUGUAGAGAUUUGUCUUUACACCUAUCCACUUUACAAACUCUACCAAGUUUCAGGUGGUGGGGUUGUUUCUGGAGUGAAAGAGAAAGGGGAAACGUCCAAGAUAUGCAUUGAAGAUGAUGGAUCCAUUGCUAAUAUAGGCUUAUGACAGACCUCCUAGGCCAAUGGACAUAUAUGACGCAUUUCUCCUUUGUUUUUGGUGAUAGUUUUUGUGAGCUAACAUAGAUUUGGCUAUCGUAUUUAGCAGCAGUGUUGGUCCUUGUAUAAGGAUUUAGUUCACUGUAAAUGCCUUUGCUGCUCAGAAUCUUCAUUUUGCAUGUGUUGCAUAGGCCGAACAUUUUUUAAUAUAGAUUUAUCAUCUUAGUUAAUUCUCAAAUUAGGAAUUUGCAUCUUAUCCAUAUUAAAAAUCUUCCUUUCUACUGGUGGUAAUUGCUAAAAUUUGUUGAAUGUUUUUGUAUGUUCUGAUUGAGUAGCUAGAUUAGCUAGAUAAUCUACAAAUGUAUUCUCCUCCCUGUAAAUGUAUGUGAUUGUAGCAUUUAUAUUAGACAUCAGGUUUCUUAUUU